UGUUCAAAAUUUCCAGAAAAAAAAGGUUGGUUGUAUCCGGAUUGAUGGAGGUACACCUUCUGGAUCAAGGCAACAAUUGGUUACAGAGUUUCAGGAAAAAGAUUCUAUCAAGGCAGCAGUGCUAUCUAUCAAAGCUGGAGGUGUCGGGUUAACAUUGACUGCUGCCAGCACCGUCCUCUUUGCAGAAUUGUCUUGGACUCCUGGUGAUCUAAUUCAGGCCGAAGACCGUGUUCAUAGAAUUGGAUAGGUAUAUUUUCAAACAUGGUUGCUGUUAAGUUGAAAAGAAAGGAAAAUCGUGAUCUCAAAUGCUGUUGUAAUUUAAAUAAAAUCAGCAUCAACAGUAAGAGAGUACAAGCACGGUAUUGUUUUAGGAAUUGUGGUGAUAUCAUAAAAUUUGUGAUAGAUUAUCUCUUAAAAGAAAACAUCUCUUAAAUGAAAAUAUCUCAUUGCUAAGCUUAGCUGAUAGAUAGUUCAGUUUCAACAACAAUCUGUGAUGGUCAUGAGAACACCUUAAAGGUCUCAGAUGAUCAACCGCCAUCGAGAAGCCCUGCAAAGCAGAAAACUCUUGAUCAUUUCGUCAGGAGAUGUGACAACAGCACGAGUGGAUUGGAACAUCAGUCAUCCCCCAAACGUCCCCGGUACUGACCCAUAAGUUCUGUGAAAUGGUUCUCAUAGUGGAAUAUGAUCGCAUGUUGACACUGAUACUCGCUCAGUGGGAAAGACAUAUGAAGUAGUAGCUAAAAUAGGCGGUCAGCACAGCUGGACUUGCAAGUAGCAA